CCUGAAUCCUUCCCAGUGGCUUCUCAUACUCGGUCUCUGCAGACUCUGUUCUCCUCUGCCCCCUCCAAGAGAAAAUUGUUCAAAUCCACAUCCCUUUCUCCCUUCAGGACCUCUCAAAGACAGAAAAGCGGCUGGUUCCGUUUUGGCUGAUCCUUCUGUCUACAUCAAGGAGUUCCAUUAUCUUUCCCAAGCCUAUGACCUGACCUGGAGUAACCUCUACGUCAUCCAGGACUCUACUCUCACUUCAGAGGAGCAAGGUUGGGUUCAGGCAGCAGCUACAUGAUAUGCAGACCAAAGCCAUCUAGUGGACAAUGUGGUUCCUGUGGGUGAUGUGGCGGUGCCAGUUGUAGAGCCCUACUGGGACUAUCAGCCAGGUCAAAAUGGCCACCAGACAAGAGACCUCAUGGUCCACUGCCUCCUUCAGGGUAUGGUAUAGAAAUGGUCUUGAGUAAAGUUGUUAAUGUUUUUUCUUUAUUGAGAAUUUUUUUAUUCAUUUUACAUACCAACCACAGAUCCCCCUCUCAUCCCUCCUCCUGCUCCUCCCCAGCCUUCAACCCCAACCCAUCCCCCAUCCUCUCCUUAAAAAAGGUAAGGCCUCCUGUGGGAAGUCAGCAAAACCUGGUACUGUUGAGGCAGGUCUAAGCUCCUCUCCCCUGCAUCAAGGCUGUUCAAGGUGUCCCAUCAUAGGUCCCAAAAAGCCAGCUCAUGCAAAAAUUGUUAAUUUUUAUAAACUCCAUGAGAUUACACAUUGUGCUGACAAAAAUCCAGCUGUUUUCUAAAUUGAUUACAAGAGAACAUGGUUGAAUAUACCUGCUUUGACCCAGCAGGAGCCACAGUUUUUGGCCACCCAUUUCAUUUCUCAGCCAUUACAAGAUAUUAGAAAGAAAUUUUAAAAAGGCUAAGGAAGGUCAGCAAACUCCCAUACAGGAAUUGGUGAAAAUGGCUUUUAAGGUUUUUAACACUUAGGAGGAGGCAGCUGAGUUUGCUGACAGGCUUGGCUACAACAGAAGGCUAUGUUCCAGCUCAGGACUUGUCACCUGCCCUGAGGCCAUUGGCACUCCCACAUGGGAGACAAGGGAAGUACACAAGGCUCUAUCCCCCUGGACCCCAGCCAAGUCAACUCCACCAGUGACCUGCUUCAAAUGUGGCCAGGAAGGCCAUUGGUCCUGGUGCUGCUCUGAUCCUCACUGGUCAACAAGGCCAUGCCUCCAUCAGCAGGCUGGCCACUGCCCCCAUGUGGGCUUGUCCUCUGUGACAUGCCAUGAAAAUCCAACCUCACCAACACAUGCAUCUGAGACUCUUCCAGCCUUUGAGGUCCUCAGCCUGGCAGAGAACUGAAGCCACCCAAACCUGGAGAUUCCCAUCACCCUCACAGAGCCUAAGGUCCUUAAUCUCUGCCUUGUGGUUAUGGAUCAAGAUGUGAGCUCUCAGCCAUUCUUUUGCUCUGUCAUCAUGGACUCUAACCCUUUGGAAUCAUAAGCCAAAUUAAACAUGUUCUUGUGUAAGUUUA